UACGGAGGGUGCAAACGUUGCUCGGAAUCAUUGGGCGUAAAGCGCACGUAGGCGGCCUGUUAAGUCGGAUGUGAAAGCCCCGGGCUCAACCCGGGAAGUGCAUUCGAAACUGGCGGGCUUGAAUAUGGAAGAGGGUCGCGGAAUUCCCGGUGUAGAGGUGAAAUUCGUAGAUAUCGGGAGGAGCACCAGUGGCGAAGGCGGCGACCUGGGCCAAUAUUGACGCUGAGGUGCGAAAGCGUGGGGAGCAAACAGG
rnacentral:rRNA from 1 species